rnacentral:rRNA from 1 species
UACGAAGGGGGCUAGCGUUGUUCGGAAUUACUGGGCGUAAAGCGCACGCAGGCGGCUCUGAAAGUCAGAUGUGAAAGCCCCGGGCUUAACCUGGGAACUGCAUUUGAUACUCUAGAGCUUGAGUACGGGAGAGGAGAGUGGAAUUCCCAGUGUAGAGGUGAAAUUCGUAGAUAUUGGGAAGAACACCGGUGGCGAAGGCGGCUCUCUGGACCGUAACUGACGCUGAGGCGCGAAAGCGUGGGGAGCAAACAGG